GUCUCCGUUCAGCGGCGCGCUGCAGCUCACCGACCUGGACGACUUCAUCGGGCCCUCGCAGGUGGGCCGGGGCGGGGGGCACGCGGCGCCCGGGAGCGGCGGCCGCCCCCGUCCUGCCGCGGCUGCAGAGAAGCCCGUUCAUGCGCCCGCAGCCCGCGCUGCUCACCCGGCCGCGCUCUGGGAGCCGCCCGCCCAAAUACCGACCGGGAGGCAGGGAGGGAAGGGGACGGGCAGGGCUUUCUUGUCAGAGUCUUCAAGCACUAGCGAAGCUCCCAGUCACAAGUGCAGCCCUGGAGAGGGCUGCUGACAGCAAAUAGAGCAAUUCCCUUUUAGUUUGAGGUGAACAGACUCGCUAACUGCAGCACAGCUAGGAAGCUCAUCAUCAUCUCUGACAUCCUAACUGACAACAGCAGAACCGAGGCAGAGAUAGAUCUUACAGAGAUCGUGAAAACCCACCAACCCUGGAACAGCUCUGAACCAUACAUCUUUCUGCGUGAAGUCAAUACUCUUGCAGCACAAGUAAGAGUUUCUCCAGCUCCAGACUCUACUUUCCAUGGGAAUCAUCUUCCCUCUUGCGAGGCCUCAUUCUCAUUUGCUCUUCCUUCUGACUGCAUGAUCUGUUCAAAAUUUUUCCAAAGCAAAGGGGUACGAAACAGUAUGAUGGGAUGGUCCCAAGCAAGCAGCAUUAUCAAGUUUUUUGGAUUAAGCAGUAAGGGCAGGGGGGAAGGGACAUUUCAAGUAACCCAAGAAUGCAGAUACGCCGCCCCGCCCAGCAGUCUGUUGUCCGUUUCUGCAUGAAGAGAGCUGCACUAAUACGCAUAAUGACUGGGAUCCAAAGCUAAAUAAUUCCAUCUCACUCAAAUCACACAUCGCUUUCCAUUUCUUCUUCUUGCCAGGUAGACCUUGAGAGCAUAACAAGCACUGGAGUUCAUGACAUAAUGCUCAAAAGCGUUUUCCAGAUCUUGAAGCCACAUUUUGCCCCAGUGACGACAGCAGACUUGGAAUUCCUGUUCAAUGGGACACUGACCUUGUAUCUAGGCUCCAUCGCUAGUGAUGAAUUAAUAGCACUGCCUGCUAUUGGCGACUGCCCCCACUUACAAGAGACAUGAGUAUACAUCCAGUUCAACUUCUCUCAUCUGUGUGCAGUGUAACGGAGAAUGCCACCGCGGAGGCCUGUGGGGAAUGAUCUGACUGACAGGCUGGAGGAAGAAUUAUGAAUUCCUCAGUGAAGAUAUUUCUAGACAUCUGCACUAGAAGGGUUAUUAGCUUGGAUCUGUGAAAGCCAGAGCAAAGAACUGAUGCUGACAUUUGUACUCUCUCUGUUUGUCUUGCAGAGUGAGAGCUCUGUACUAUGCAUUUGAUAACAUGACAACAGAGACAAAGACUGACGUGCCCAGGAAUCUGCAGUCACAUGGACCCAAGCUUUUUAUAGACAGUACACAGUGUAAAUGUAAACUGCACUCCAAUUGUGUCCAAGUGCGCCACCUCCACUUAGCGCAGCUUCCCCAUUAGGGAGUGGAGAGCAGCCCUUGUCUCUAUAAUGAAGCAGCACGAGCUUCGCUUGCUGACAGAAGAGGUGUGCAGAAAGAUUUACAAAAAGAUGAAUCGUGCCCUUACUAUGAGCAUAAACUGCUUGUAGGGCUGGUUGAACCACUGUGUUGGGUUUCCUUUUCAACAUCCUUAUCUUACAAUGUUUGUGAAGAAUAAAAGUUGAAAAGUAACCAAGCAGAGGUGUCCCCAUUUCCAUGAAACUACCAGGUACUGUCACUUUGUGACAGUAUUCCAGAAACUACACUGACAUAAGCCAACCUGGCUCAAACCGAGUUGAUUCACUGCUGAGAUGCAUGCUAAUUGGAGAUAGUUUCUCUGGCUUUUCCAUUCACAGCCUGGAAUGAGCCUUAGGUUUUGUGAGUCUUAUGCUGAAAUGUGAUUUGUUAUUGUUGCAUUUUAGACUGUCAGAUGGCUAAAAACUGGAUGACGCUACUUCCAGAGAUUCAGAUCUACAGCUAACCUCACAUUUUUGUUGCUGUCUAUGAAACCUUUACUGGGCUAAGAAUAUGGACUUGGACACUUUGUGAUGUUUUACCACCCUAGAGCAAAACCAUUCCAUUUUUGUGUGGCAGCCACACAAAUCCUGCUGGGGCUUAUACUCUGAGAGUCAAAGAGUAUUACAGAAUCGUUUGAACAACAAAUACAAAAUGAAAACUUGUGGCCCUUUCUCCCUUCCUUGGAAACAAUGAGAAUUUCUCCAACUCCUUCCAGAGAGCCAGGAUCUUCCCCUCUGCUACUGCAAGUCCAGCUCUAAAGUUCUUGACUCUUCCCUUGCAUUUCAAUUCCAGUAAGCCCCAGAGGGUUGAUCCUUUUGCCAUAACAAAGCACAGAAUAGAAAGGAUGGAUGUUACAGCUAGAGCACAUGCACAAGAGUCACAGGAGGUGACCGGCCUGCAGGAGCUGACUGCUGUCCAGCGUGCCCACUUAGCCACAGAGCUGAACACGUCUGGGGACAGGGUUAACAUUGAACAAAUCUUUGACAGACUGUCCAAGCUGCCUGGUCUCAGUGCUUUGGCUGCUUACUGGGAUGAGUUGAACCCUGCUUUAGAGGAGAAUUCCUGGGAUCAACAGUCUUCUCCAAAAUCCAUACAGCUGGCAAAAUGGAUGUACAAAACUACAUUGUGGCAUUUCUCACCCAGAAGUCUGAGGUCACCACUAAUACCUAUCAAUUCAGCUAGUUCUCUAGGAGCUGUCACUCUCUGCAAUAAUUCAUUCCUGUUCAGAGUACAGAAAUAAAACACACUGGCAGAACAUGCCACUGAAGGGCUGAGCCAAAGGCCAUAAAAAGGCGGUGACUUCAAGCUCUCCUUUGACCUCAGGGUGCUGUAGCAAUCCUGAGCAGUGCUGUAUACUACAAUGCAGAAUCUACUCACCUCCUCACCUUACCUGUUCUUCAUUGCUCGGCCAGCAUUAACAACGCCCUCAGGGCUGUGCAGCAGGCGAGCCGAUGGGUCAUUUCCCUUAAACAAAAAGGUAAUACGCAGGCACAAAAGUCCAGUUAUCAAAACCAUUUUUAUUGCCUCUCCCUGGCUAAGAGCUCUUGCAGAGCUACAACAUGCAGAAAUGGCAUCCGAGCAAAACGGAUGGAAAAAGAACUUGCCAAGUCGGUAGGAUAGUCCAGCUUUGCAAGUUCUGCCCUGAGUCUUCUUCACAGAGCUAUCACCUACGCAGCCGGAUCGCACGCUUAAAAAGGUGCCUAGUGCUCGGCCUCCCUUUCCACGGAGGGAUGCUUUGCACGAGCUCUCCCCACCACCACCAGCACCCCUCGCACCCGCGCCCAAAGCCACUCGCAAGGAGCAGGAGAUGGGUCAGAUCCGCGCCAAACGACGCAACAAGCCACGGGAGCAAAGGCAGCAGUAUUUAGAGCAGUGCAGCAGAGGGGCCGCCCAGGUAAGCACUGCAGCGCUGCCCAGCUCCCAUCCGAUUUGCGCUCCCACAGCACAGGCACUUCGGAAGGCCACCCUCAACAACGAGGCUGAGCUUUGUUUGCAAAGUAUGAACAGCAGCAACA